GACGAACGCUGGCGGCGUGCUUAACACAUGCAAGUCGAACGGAAAGGCCCUGCUUUUGUUGGGUUCUCGAGUGGCGAACGGGUGAGUAACACGUGUGUAACCUGCCCUUGACUUUGGGAUAACUUCAGGAAACUGGGGCUCAUACCGGAUAGGAUCUCCUGCUGCAUGUGGGUGGUUGGAAAGUUUCGGCGGUUGGGGAUGGACUCGCGGCUUAUCAGCUUGUUGGUGGGGUAGUGGCUUACCAAGGCUUUGACGGGUAGCCGGCCUGAGAGGGUGACCGGCCACAUUGGGACUGAGAUACGGCCCAGACUCCUACGGGAGGCAGCAGUGGGGAAUAUUGCACAAUGGGCGGAAGCCUGAUGCAGCAACGCCGCGUGCGGGAUGACGGCCUUCGGGUUGUAAACCGCUUUCGCCUGUGACGAAGCGUGAGUGACGGUAAUGGGUAAAGAAGCACCGGCUAACUACGUG
rnacentral:rRNA from 1 species